GGAAAGCUAACUAAACCGUCCGAAACAUGGGGAUCGCGAGAAGAUAAAAAACAUGGAUUUGCUCGAGUCGGAAAGGUAGCCGCGCACCGGUGGACAUCUGUUAUCACUUUUCUACAUGCCAACAACCGCUACGCUUUCUUUGCUAAACGGGUCGAGGAUUCCCACCGUGUCGGUUCGCCGUCACACGACGACAUUUUCUGAGAGAAUCGAGACCGUCCCUCCUUUGGUCUGUUGUAGGAACGCUUGAAGCGUGAGUUGGCCGCAUUCGGGUACGCCGGCGCACUCCCUGAAGCUGUGGUGUUCCAUUCACCAACGCUUGGCGAAUACCGUUUUGUUUAUCCUCGCCCCCCUGGCUCUCCCAUGGUCUGUAGUAAGCUCACAUUAAAACGUGUCCAGUGUAAAGCUUGAACGUAAUGCAGCUUCCGGUUUUGGAUGGUAAUAUUUUUAGCACCGCACAAUAUGCUAGAAAAUUCCUUGGGAGGGUUCUGCGCAGGGUCGUCGGGAAUUCGCUGGGACAUACAUUUGGGAAACUUAAAAGUCCGACGCCGACGUCUGCCGCUUUAACGAUACAGAUAGCUAUGAAGAAAAAGAUAUCUCCCCCUGUCAGUUGUAGUCCUAGUUCCCUGUUCACUGCAUACACUGUAACGGAAAUACGCAGUUACAGUCCUUGUGCUACUGUGGCCUCGAAGCCUGCAACGGCGAUCCCCGCAUGCGUAUGAAUGCACCUGUACAUUUGUAUAUUUGUGGCUGUAUACGAACUUACAGCUGCUACAAACGCUCUACCCGUUUUGCAAUCCAGCUUGCGGGCAGUCACGUAAACGACAACUGAAUCUGAG
rnacentral:lncRNA from 1 species